UGGGGAAUUUUGGACAAUGGGCGAAAGCCUGAUCCAGCAAUGCCGCGUGUGUGAAGAAGGCCUUCGGGUUGUAAAGCACUUUUGUCCGGAAAGAAAUCCUUGGCUCUAAUACAGUCGGGGGAUGACGGUACCGGAAGAAUAAGCACCGGCUAACUACGUGCCAGCAGCCGCGGUAAUACGUAGGGUGCAAGCGUUAAUCGGAAUUACUGGGCGUAAAGCGUGCGCAGGCGGUUUGCUAAGACCGAUGUGAAAUCCCCGGGCUCAACCUGGGAACUGCAUUGGUGACUGGCAGGCUAGAGUAUGGCAGAGGGGGGUAGAAUUCCACGUGUAGCAGUGAAAUGCGUAGAGAUGUGGAGGAAUACCGAUGGCGAAGGCAGCCCCCUGGGCCAAUACUGACGCUCAUGCACGAAAGCGUGGGGAGCAAACAGGAUUAGAUACCCUGGUAGUCCACGCCCUAAACGAUGUCAACUAGUUGUUGGGGAUUCAUUUCCUUAGUAACGUAGCUAACGCGUGAAGUUGACCGCCUGGGGAGUACGGUCGCGAGAUUAAAACUCAAAGG
rnacentral:rRNA from 1 species